UGGGGAAUAUUGCACAAUGGAGGGAACUCUGAUGCAGCGACGCCGCGUGAGUGAUGAAGGAAUUCGUUUCGUAAAACUCUGUUCUAUGGGAAGAAAAGGACUGUACCAUAGGAGAAAGCUCCGGCUAAAUACGUGCCAGCAGCCGCGGUAAUACGUAUGGAGCGAGCGUUGUCCGGAAUUAUUGGGCGUAAAGGGUGCGCAGGCGGCUUUACAAGUUGGAUGUGAAAUAUUGUGGCUCAACCACAAACGUGCAUCCAAAACUGCAAAGCUUGAGUUAAGGAGAGGUAAGUGGAAUUCCUGGUGUAGCGGUGGAAUGCGUAGAUAUCAGGAGGAAUACCGGUGGCGAAGGCAACUUACUGGACUUAAACUGACGCUCAGGCACGAAAGCGUGAGGAGCAAACAGG
rnacentral:rRNA from 1 species